CUUUGCUGGCGACCGGCGCACGGGUGAGUAACACGUAUCCAACCUGCCCUUUACUCGGGGAUAGCCUUUCGAAAGAAGGAUUAAUACCCGAUAGUAUAAUGAUUCCGCAUGGUUUGAUUAUUAAAGGAUUCCGGUAAAGGAUGGGGAUGCGUUCUAUUAGGUUGUUGGUGAGGUAACGGCUCACCAAGCCUUCGAUGGAUAGGGGUUCUGAGAGGAAGGUCCCCCACAUUGGAACUGAGACACGGUCCAA
rnacentral:rRNA from 1 species